rnacentral:sRNA from 1 species
AAAACUGGAGUUUCUUGGAGCUAAAAAUGUUUAUUUCUUGUGGUUCACAGAUAGGGCAGCAAUGUGUGGGUCCGACUUAGGGAUCCCACCUCUCACUGCAGCUCUUCUUCCUCUGUAGAUAGCAGAGGACACCCUCCAAACGCUGGCUCCCCACUGCCCUGAGCCUUCCGGCCCCAGAAGGAUCUUCCUGGAUGCCAACGUGAAGGAAAACUACUGCCCCCUAGUGCCCCACACCAUGUACUGCCUGCCCCUGUGGCAGGGCAUCAACUUGGUGCUUCUGACCAGGAGCCCCAGCGCGCCCCUGGCCCUGGUCCUGUCCCAGCUGAUGGAUGGCUUCUCCAUGCUGGAGAUGAAGCUGAAGGAAGGGCCGGAGGCCGGGGCCUCCCUGCGCUCCCAGCCCUUUGUGGGAGACCUGCGCCAGAGGAUGGACAAGUUUGUCAAGAAUCGAGGGGCACAAGAGAUUCAGAGCACCUGGCUGGAGUUUAAGGCCAAGGCUUUCUCCAAAAGUGAGCCCGGAUCCUCCUGGGAGCUGCUCC